rnacentral:rRNA from 1 species
UACGUAGGUGGCAAGCGUUGUCCGGAUUUACUGGGCGUAAAGGGCGCGUAGGCGGCCACCGCAAGUCGAUUGUGAAAUCUCCGGGCUUAACCCGGAAAGGUCAACCGAUACUGCGGGGCUAGAGUGCAGAAGGGGCAACUGGAAUUCUCGGUGUAGCGGUGAAAUGCGUAGAUAUCGAGAGGAACACCUGCGGCGAAGGCGGGUUGCUGGGCUGACACUGACGCUGAAGCGCGAAAGCUAGGGGAGCGAACGGG